rnacentral:rRNA from 1 species
GACGAACGCUGGCGGCGUGCUUAACACAUGCAAGUCGAACGGAAAGGCCCUGCUUUUGUGGGGUGCUCGAGUGGCGAACGGGUGAGUAACACGUGAGUAACCUGCCCUUGACUUUGGGAUAACUUCAGGAAACUGGUGCUAAUACCGGAUAGGAGCUCCUGCUGCAUGGUGGGGGUUGGAACGUUUCGGCGGUUGGGGAUGGACUCGCGGCUUAUCAGCUUGUUGGUGGGGUAGUGGCUUACCAAGGCUUUGACGGGUAGCCGGCCUGAGAGGGUGACCGGCCACAUUGGGACUGAGAGACGGCCCAGACUCCUACGGGAGGCAGCAGUGGGGAAUAUUGCACAAUGGGCGGAAGCCUGAUGCAGCAACGCCGCGUGCGGGAUGACGGCCUUCGGGUUGUAAACCGCUUUCGCCUGUGACGAAGCGUGAGUGACGGUAAUGGGUAAAGAAGCACCGGCUAACUACGUG